ACCCCAUAUAACCCAUAUCUGCCCAUAUCCCCCCAUAUAACCCCAUAUAAACCCAUAUCUUGCACCCAGUAAUCCCCCUAUAUAACCCCAUAUCUCCCCAUAUCCCCACCAAUAUAACCCCAUAUCGCCCAUAUCCCCCCAUAUCACCCAAUCCCCCCCAUAAUAACCCCAAUCUGCCAUAUCCCCCCAUUAUAACCCCAUAUCUGCCCCAUAUCGCCCCCAUAUAACACCCCAUAGUAACCCCACUAUCCCACCCAUAUGGCCCCAUAAGCCCCCCAAUUUCAGCCCCCAUAGACACCCAAUAUGCCCAUAGGCCCAUUGCCACCCCAUACCCACAAAUAUCCCCCCCAAAGCCACCCCCAUAUGACACCCAUAGACACCCCAUAGACCCUAGAGACACCCCACUAUAACAGCAUCCCCCAUAUCCCCCCAUAUAUCCCCCCAUAAGACCCCAAUAUAACCCACUAUACCCAUUAUACCCAACUAUAACCCAUAUCAAAUUGCCCUAUCCCACCCAUAUACCCAUAUAACCCCAUAUUAACCCAUUCUCCCCAUAUCCCCCAUUAUUCUCUCUCUAACCCAUAUUCUGCACCACUCCCCCCAUAUCCCACUUAUAAACCCAUAUAAACUCACCAUAUCGCCCCAUUCAUCCCCCCCAUAUUACCCCAUAUAACCCCAUAUCCCCCCAUACCCGCAGCCCCCGAUGCCUCCUCGCCCCAUAGCCGUGCCCUACAAGCCGCCCGUCGCCGCGCUCUGAGCUCGGCCCUAUUGAGGGAACUGAGGGACGAGAUGGGGGACGGCCCCGAACACGUGGGGGGCAGCCAGCCCCAUAGCCAGCAGCAAAGCCGCACAGCCCUUGAGGAAUCCUUGUUGUGUCGGCUGAGCCCUGCCCCAUAGAGCCCCAUUGCCCCAUAGAGCCCCAUUGCCCCAUAGAUCCCUGCCCCAUAGAGCCCUGGCCCAUAGAGCCCUUCCCCCUAUAUCCCUGCCCCAUAGAGCCCCAUUGCCCCACAUAUCCCUGCCCCAUAGAGCCCCAUUGCCCCAUAGAUCCCUGCCCCAUAGAUCUUUUCCCCAUAGAGCCCUGCCCCAUAGAUCCCUGCCCCCUAUAUCCCUGCCCCAUAAGUGAGGCCCUGCCCCAUAGAGCCCCAUUGCCCCAUAGAUCCCUGCCCCCUAUAUCCCUGCCCCAUAGAUCCCUACCCUCUAUAUCCGUGCCCCAUAGAGCCCCAUUGCCCCACAUAUCCCUGCCCCAUAGAGCCCUGCCCCAUAGAUCCCCAUUACCCCAUAGAUCCCAGCCCCAUAGAGCCCUGCCCCAUAGAUCCCCAUUACCCCAUAGAUCCCUGCCCCAUAGAGCCCUGGCCCAUAGAGCCCUUCCCCCUAUAUCCCUGCCCCAUAGAGCCACAUUGCCCCAUAGAGCCCCAUUGCCCCAUAGAGCCCUGCCCCAUAUCUGCCCCACAUAUCCCUGCCCCAUAGAGCCCCAUUGCCCCAUAGAGCCCCAUUGCCCCAUAGAGCCCUGCCCCAUAGAUCUCUUCCCCAUAGAUCCCUGCCCCAUAGAGCCACAUUUUGCCCCCUCUCUGCCCCAUAUCUACCCCCCAUCUGCCCCACAUUU
ensembl:lncRNA